GGCUCAGUAACACGUGGAUAAUCUGCCCUUAGGUCGGGGAUAGCCUCUGGAAACUGAGGAUAAACCCUUGAAUAGGGAAAAUUUCUACUGGGAAAUGGUGUUUUUUCCUUAAACUUCGUGCCUAAAGGAUGAAGCCGCCGGUCGAAUUAAGGUUGUUGGUGAAGGUAAAUGGCCUCACCAAGCCGAUGAUCGGUAGGGGCCUUGAAGAGAGGUAACCCCGAGAAGGGCCACUAAGAUACUGGCCCUAGCCCCACGGGGUGCAGCAGGCGCGGAACCUUUACAAUGCACGAAAGUGUGAUAAGGGAAUCCCAAGUGCCUUACUUUUAGUAAGGCUUUUGUUAUGUGUAAAUAGCAUGACGAAUAAGUGGUGGGUAAGACUUGUGCCAGCCGCCGCGGUAACACCAGCGCCACAAGUGGCAACCGCUUUUAUUGGGCCUAAAGCGUCCGUAGCCUGUUCAGCAAAUUUCCUGUGAAAUCGUUAGGCUUAACUUAACGUUGUGCAGGAAAGACUACUGUACUAGGGACCGGGAGGCGUCAGAGGUAUUCUUGAGGGAGCGGUAAAAUGCUAUAAUCUCAGGAGGACGACCUGUGGCGAAGGCGUCUUGACGAGAACGGAUCCGACGGUGAGGGACGAAAGCUAGGGGAGCCAAACCGGAUUAGAUACCCGAGUAGUCCUAGCUGUAAACUCUGCGAGCUAGGUGUUACGUAUUCUUCGGGAAUACGUAGUGUCCGAAGCGAAAGGUGUUAAGCUCGCCGCCUGGGAAGUAUGGUCGCAAGACUGAAACUCAAAGGAAUUGACGG
rnacentral:rRNA from 1 species